GGCGCUAUAGCCAAGUGGUUACGGCGACAGAUUAGAAUCUCGGUCUUCAUCUCGGUCUUAAUCGAUUGAUCUGUUCCUCUUUGAGGGCGCAGGUUCGAAUCCUGCUGGCGUCG